UACGGAAGGCAGCAGUGGGGAAUAUUGCACAAUGGGCGAAAGCCUGAUGCAGCUAUGCCACGUGUAUGAAGAAGGCCUUAGGGUUGUAAAGUACUUUCAUCGGGGAGGAAAAACAAAACUAAUAAUUUUAUUUCUUGACGUUACCCGAAAAAGAAGCACCGGCUAACUCCGUGCCAGCAGCCGCGGUAAUACGGAGGGUGCUAGCGUUAAUCAGAAUUACUGGGCGUAAAGAGCACGUAGGUGGUUUUUUUAAGUCAGAUGUGAAAUCCCUGGGCUUAACCUGGAACUGCAUUUUGAAACUGAAAUACUAGAGUAUCGUAGAGGGAGGUAGAAUUCUAGGUGUAGCGGUGAAAUGCGUAGAUAUCUGGAGGAAUACCUGUGGCGAAAGCGGCCUCCUAAACGAAUACUGACACUGAGGUGCGAAAGCGUGGGGAGCAAACAGGGAUUAGAUACC
rnacentral:rRNA from 1 species